rnacentral:rRNA from 1 species
GACGAACGCUGGCGGCGUGCUUAACACAUGCAAGUCGAACGGAAAGGCGCUGCUUUUGUGGGGUGCUCGAGUGGCGCACGGGUGAGUAACACGUGAGUAACCUGCCCUUGUCUUUGGGAUAACUUCAGGAAACUGGGGCUAAUACCGGAUAGGAGCUCCUGCUGCAUGGUGGGGGUUGGAAAGUUUCGGCGGUUGGGGAUGGACUCGCGGCUUAUCAGCUGGUUGGUGGGGUAGUGGCUUACCAAGGCUUUGACGGGUAGCCGGCCUGAGAGGGUGACCGGCCACAUUGGGACUGAGAUACGGCCCAGACUCCUACGGGAGGCAGCAGUGGGGAAUAUGGCACAAUGGGCGGAAGCCUGAUGCAGCAACGCCGCGUGCGGGAUGACGGCCUUCGGGUUGUAAACCGCUUUCGCCUGUGACGAAGCGUGAGUGACGGUAAUGGGUAAAGAAGCACCGGCUAACUACGUG